rnacentral:lncRNA from 1 species
AUGGCUGCCAGCGGUUGUUGGAGACCUGGAAGUGGGAAAGGAUGUCCUGGGAUGCUGAAGAGUGCCCAGUCUUCUCUGAGCAUCCUUUCCUCUAACAAAGGAAUCAGUGUCCCAUUUGGGUCAGUGUCUACCGAGCCUCGGUCUCCAUCUUUGGUUUCGAGUGCCUACCCUUGUCCCUUUCUCUCCCCCAGUGUCUUGCCCCUGGUGGCUAGAACAAGCAGGAAGCAAGUAAGAAAGGAAUCCACUGCCCUCCAGAGAGAGAGAGAGAGAGGUAUAAGAGCCCUGCAUCUCCCACCCUGGAUUGUUGGGCCCAGGAAAGCCAGUAUCCUGCAGGCACUCAGUCUUUUCUUCCCAAGAUCUUGUGAUACCUGCCCCCACCCUUCCUGUUCUGUUCCCUGCCCCCUAGCCUUUUCCUCCUCCCUUACCCCCUGGGCUGACCAAAAAUGUGCUUUCUACUGUGAGCCCCGUCCCAAGACCCUGGGGGAUGGAGAGACCAUAGUGUGAAUGUAAAAUGCCCCCUCUGAGGCAGGCUUUGUGGUAAAGGAAGAGGGUCAGGGUUCACCUCCCAUGUGCUUUGCUCAGCUAGGAGGGAAAGCCCUUGCCCACUAUGUCCAUUCCUAGAGAGCCUGUCCUCCAGUAUGCAUCUGUAGCAGGAGCUAGGGCCACAGCCCUAGCCCCAGCCCCAGGGCAAAGCAAACCUGGUUGUGUCAGUCAUUUUGUCUUUUCUUCCCCAGCCCCUCUUCCCUGCCCCCUUUUUUUUUUUUUUUUUUUUUUUUUGACAGAUUGGCAGAGGGACGUAAAGUCCUGCAGCCACUCCCCUGUAUGUUUAAGUUCCUUCAUUAGCAGUUCAGGCUGCUUGGACAGGUUUGAAUCAAAUUGUACUUUGUUCCAUUGUAAUUAAGAAACUG